UUUGUAAUAAUAGUUUGAAGGAUAAUGUGGACGUAUAAAUACGAGCAUCUUGAACUAUUUUAACUCCUUUUCAUCACUUCAUUUUAAAAUGAAGAUAUCGUUUGUAUUUUGCAUAGUAUUGCUACUGGUGUGGCCGAAAGUGACGAGUGGAACAUGUAGGGAAUUCUGUAUGAAGUUUAACAAGGAAUUGAUAUGUGGUAAAAAGGGAAAUACCUAUUACAAUUAUUGCGAAAUGAGAGAAUGUUACAAUGGCGAGUUUCGUUAUAAAGGACAAUGCAACGGAUAAAUUAUAUCGACUUUGAGAGCAGGUUAAAACUGCGUUUUAAUUAAAUAUUUUCC